rnacentral:rRNA from 1 species
UACGUAGGGGGCAAGCGUUUGUCCGGAUUUAUUGGGCGUAAAGAGCGUGUAGGCGGCUGGGUAGGUCCGUUGUGAAAACUCGAGCUCAACCUCGAGACGCCGAUGGAAACCCUCCAGCUAGAGUCCGGAAGAGGAGAGUGGAAUUCCUGGUGUAGCGGUGAAAUGCGCAGAUAUCAGGAAGAACACCCGUGGCUAAGGCGGCUCUCUAGUACGGUACUGACGCUGAGACGCGAAAGCGUGGGGAGCGAACAGG